rnacentral:rRNA from 1 species
UCUGAUGUGAAAGCCUUCGGCUUAACCGGAGAAGUGCAUCGGAAACUGGAUAACUUGAGUGCAGAAGAGGGUAGUGGAACUCCAUGUGUAGCGGUGGAAUGCGUAGAUAUAUGGAAGAACACCAGUGGCGAAGGCGGCUACCUGGUCUGCAACUGACGCUGAGACUCGAAAGCAUGGGUAGCGAACAGGAUUAGAUACCCUGGUAGUCCAUGCCGUAAACGAUGAGUGCUAGGUGUUGGAGGGUUUCCGCCCUUCAGUGCCGGAGCUAACGCAUUAAGCACUCCGCCUGGGGAGUACGACCGCAAGGUUGAAACUCAAAGGAAUUGACGGGGGCCCGCACAAGCGGUGGAGCAUGUGGUUUAAUUCGAAGCUACGCGAAGAACCUUACCAGGUCUUGACAUCUUGCGCCAACCCUAGAGAUAGGGCGUUUCCUUCGGGAACGCAAUGACAGGUGGUGCAUGGUCGUCGUCAGCUCGUGUCGUGAGAUGUUGGGUUAAGUCCCGCAACGAGCGCAACCCUUGUUACUAGUUGCCAGCAUUAAGUUGGGCACUCUAGUGAGACUGCCGGUGACAAACCGGAGGAAGGUGGGGACGACGUCAGAUCAUCAUGCCCCUUAUGACCUGGGCUACACACGUGCUACAAUGGACGGUACAACGAGUCGCGAACUCGCGAGGGCAAGCAAAUCUCUUAAAACCGUUCUCAGUUCGGACUGCAGGCUGCAACUCGCCUGCACGAAGUCGGAAUCGCUAGUAAUCGCGGAUCAGCAUGCCGCGGUGAA